AACAUAUAAUGAUCAAAUACCUGCCAAAACUAAAUGCCUGCAGUGCUUACAAUGAAUUACACUUCAUGAAUUCCUUAUCAGUGGUUCUUCUUCAUAGGCCAUUCAUGAUGUAAGGUACCCAGAAGAGUGGAUCACUUAUUGGCAAACUGGAAACUGAUGUGGUUGCUGGUACCUUAAAGCACUGACAUCCAUAUCACAUACAGAAGAAAGCUUGUUACCGCAAUAAACAGAUACCAUAAUGGAUAAAGAC
rnacentral:lncRNA from 1 species